AAAACGAAGCAUUAUUUGGCAAAUCCACCACUGAUUAAAAUCCAAGAAAACAUGACUAUAGAAGCCUAGAGAAAUGCGUACUUCAUUGAUCCUGAUUGAUCCUGAGCACACAGACACACACACAAACACACUAUACCAUAUACCUCGCUUGCGCAUGCACACCGAGGCAUAAUGAAAGCACCACGGGGGCUGAUAUGCCUCGGUGGAGCCAGGAGGUGUCAAAGCUAACAAUAAGUUUUAUCCCAUAAACAUUUUUAUGUAGGCAGAAUCCAGAAUCACAUAGGGAAACUCAAAGAGUGAGUAAUGAUCGACCAUGAUUGUUGUUAAAAACGAUCGAUGCCAAAAGUCCAAGUCUGAAAUUAACGGCGGCAUCAGCAGAGCCUUGCAGCUCUCUUGCAGCUACCAAAAGCUAGAGUAAACCACAGAUUAUCGAACACAUGCUAUUUUCAAACGCUUAAUUGUUCUCGAGGACAGCGGCUCACUCAGGGGCAUUAAGGACUGUCCAAAUUAAAAUUACAAGGAAUUUUGUUAUAAUGAUAUUCAUACACAAGUGUCAUCGCAUUGGAAUGUUUAUCACGUGCGUGGGUGGAAAACAUCUGCAAUUACUAGUGGGGUUGGAGCUUCGGUCACAUGACACUGUACUUAGCUUUCUGAAGUUGACCGUAGCUAGUUGAUCGUGUAAAACCCUGAAAAACUAUUUGUUGUAAGCUACCUAGUAGUUAUUAAAGGCCUUAACUAAGACUAUUAGAUAGUAGAGAACUUGUUUCCUGCUGCGCAAGACAGAGUGCAACCAAACAAGAAUGUUAGGAGGAGAUCUCGGGGACAAUUCAGGAUUUCAUCAGUAUAUGAUAUGUACAUCAGGAUUCCAAGAAAAGAUAGGAUCUAACUAAGCUGGAACAAAUGGUUUUUUUAUAAUUUAGUUUUACAAGGAAAUUUCAUGUUAAUUGGUCACAUGAUAGUCACAUGAUCUUUUUUUUCAUUAAGGAAACUUAAAUUAUUAUGACAAAACAAAAUGUGCAAUUACUAUGUUUAAUAUUGAAUACUUUUUGAUAUAUGUGACGUUGGCUGUUCUUGAUUCUGGACGUGCCUUAA